CUUCACAGCCGCUCCUUACUACCGUAGAACCCUCUUUCUUCCUUCCUUCCUUCUGGAAUCAAUCGUCUUUCACAACCCAAAACAUUUCCAAAUCCUCUUUUAAUGGGAUUAGUUGGCCUUUGGGCGGCGAUGCCUCUAGCCUCCUUGAGUGUUUUCUCUCUCGAAAGUAGCUACGUCCUUCUUAGAUGCUGCUUGUAAACUGUUAAAGGCCAUGCCUUUUACGAAAAUGAAAGUUUAAUUGUUCAAAGAACUGGAAGAACGAUCCGUCAACAUGGUCCCUUCAUUAAGAAGAAGGUAUCCUCUUUGUUUUUUAGCCAUGGUGUUCAAAUAUUAGGGCAAUGCUGUGAGAAGUAAGGUGGUUUUUGUUUUUGCGUACAAACUGUAUUUUUGAAUUUUUUUUAGUUUUUUUUUAAAAUUAUUUUUAAUGUGAUAAUGUUAAAAUAAAAAUUUUAAAAAUACAAAAAUUAUUAAUUUAAUAUAUUUCUAAAUAAAAAACACUCUAAAGUCUCUUUUAUUUUUUUUUUAUUGUUUUUACUUUUUACCAAACCACUGUGCAGAAAAAAAGCAUGUAAAUCAGGCAAUAGCAUAGCGUUGGUGCUUAUAAGUAGUAACAGUAUUUAUAACAUCCUUAAAACCCUACUUCCACUUCAGUUUCAGUUUCACUCUUCCAGUUAAACCCAACACGGUGGCUCUCUCCACCAAAUCAAAUGCCCCUCUUUUCUCACCGCCACCCGUCCUCCUCCGCCAUCCCCACCACCAUCAAUCCCAGAACUUCAAAACCAUCAAAACCCAAUUUUAUACCUCCUUCAACCCGCUACCCUCUACCUCUUCUAGUCUUUUCACUCAUCUCCCUUCUCAUUGGACUUUCUGGCACAAUCUUCGCUAUCUCAGCGAUCCGCAGACCCAAACCUGUUCCUGUUUUUCGCUGUGGCAGAUCCGAGGACACUUUUCGAGCAUUUUAUUCGGGUUCGGGUAGAACCCGAGGUGAUGAUAACGGAGCAUUGAUUGACAGGCCUAAGCUUCUUGGGUUUGUUGGGAUUCAAACCGGGUUUGAAUCGGGUGAUCGCCGGGCUGCACUUAGAAGUACUUGGUUUCCUUCUGACCCAGAUGGACUUUUGAGGUUGGAGCAAGCUACUGGUUUAGCAUUUAGGUACGUAAUAGGGCGCUCAAAGGAUGCAAAGAAAAUGGCCCAGCUUGAGAAAGAGGUGGAUAAGUACAGAGAUUUCAUGCUCAUAGAUGUCGAGGAAGAAUAUCUAAAGCUUCCAUACAAAACGUUGGCCUUUUUCAAGGCAGCCUUUAAGCUUUUUGAAGCAGAUUAUUAUGUCAAAGCUGACGAUGAUAUCUAUUUGCGCCCAGAUCGCCUUGCAACUCUUCUCGCUAAGGAAAGAACCCACUCACUGACUUAUAUUGGAUGCAUGAAGAAAGGACCAGUGAUCACUGAUCCUAAAAUGAAAUGGUAUGAGAAAUCAGGACAUCUGAUUGGAAAUGAGUACUUCCUGCAUGCUUAUGGACCUAUAUAUGUUCUUUCUGCAGAGGUUGUGGCUUCAUUAGCAUCUGCUAGAAAUAACAGCUUUCAGUUUGAGAAUGUUCAGCAAUGAGGAUGUCUCUAUUGGAUCGUGGAUGCUUGCAAUGAAUGUUUAUCAUGAAGAUAACCGAGCCAUAUGCGAUCCCCGAUGCACUCCAACAUCUAUAGCAGUUUGGGAUAUUCCUAAAUGUUCUGGUUUAUGCAAUCCGGCUAGUCGGAUGAAGGAGCUUCACAAGAUUGAUAUGUGCUCCAAAAGUCCAACACUGCCCCCUGAUGAUAGAUAGUGUCCAAUCAGCCAGAACUUAUGCUUGCAUAACACUGACGUAGCAAUGUAGGCUGUUUUUGAUCUGAGUGCUGGGUUUCUGCAGGACAAGUAUCUUUCCCCAAAGAGCAAUAGGGGCUUUUGUAUUCUGCCAUUCUAUUCUCCAUGUGUAGACUGUAUAGCCAUGCAAUGCAUUAUCUUCAAGUUGCUAGAUAAGUUAAUAGCACUAUUAAAGGAAUGCUUGAUUCUUAAAACACCGAAAAUCACGAGAAUAAGCAAGUGUCGUUAGACAUGUAGAAUACCAGCACCAUGUGAUUAUGGUCACUAGGGUCAGGAGACUGAUUUUGAGUUUGUUCAAGGAUUCAAGCGAGGAUAUCUGCCUGUACUAGUGAUCUGAUCACUGUUUUUGGGCAUGCCCAUAUGACUAGGAGUAUGGUGUAUAAUUUGUAUGUACUUGAAAUUGUUAUAUCUCCACGGAAAUGAAAUCAUACUGUUCUCUUUAA